AUUUGGUCAAUUACGAAGUUCGAACGUGGGAAAUGGUAAAUGAAAUUGCCCUACACAUUCUAAAGGGUUUGGACAAUUUUUUGGACAAGUUAGAGAGUGAUUGGAGAGUUAAAAGUAAGAAAAUGCAUUGAUCUGGCGAAAUCAGUGUUUUUCUGCUUGCUGUACCGGUACAGCCAUCACCUUGUACCGGUACAGACUAGCAGAAACGUGGCAGCAAGGUUAUUUUGGUAAUUUCACCUCUUGUCCCUAUCUUAUCUCCCCCAGCACGACUCCUGGAGUAUUUGGGAAGGCAGUAGAGCUCAGAGGAAGGUCCUUGCACCAUCCUCACUCUUUCUCUCUAGGGUUUUUCUCUCUCUACGAGAAAGUCGCCGAUUCGCGUCGAUUUCGCGUUCCGCUUGAUGUUUGCUGACCUGGAGACUUGAAGGAAGCUCUUGGAACGUGGAGAGGUGGUGUUUCACUGAAUUUUUCGUGAGUAUAUCAGCAGAGAAGCUGAAUUUCAGCUGUUGCAAGGUAUAUGGCUUAAAAUCUCUCUAGUUUAAGAUUUAGUAUCGGAUUUUGAAUCGUUUUGCUUCUUUUGCUCCUAGCUGAAUUAGGAGGGAAUUUCAGCAGUAGAAAAAGGUGAUUUGGCUAUGAUUUACAUACCUUUCGUUCAGGGAAAAGUUCCUUUAAAGCUUAAUAAAGAUAACUAGUGAGUUAUGACUCUAUUUCGGGAUUAUAUGAAGUCGAAUUGGGUAAAUUGAUACUGUUUGGAAUGAUGUCUUCGCAGCAGGUUUCCGAAGUAAAUUGAGUUUAUUUGGUGACCUUGGGGACUGGUUUAGAAGGUGUUCUAACCUGAGCGAGAGUGCAAUCGACCCUCGGAUUGUCUUCGGCUAGCUUGAGAGAGCCCUUGGAGACUUAUUUCGAGCAGAGUUGGGGCUCCGCUGAGCUGAGUUUCGGGACUUCUAUUGGCUGGAUUGAGCUUGGCGAUAGAGCGUUCCACCGCGGGAAAGGCUAGGGUUCUU